UACGAAGGGUGCAAGCGUUAAUCGGAAUUACUGGGCGUAAAGCGUGCGUAGGCGGUUAUUUAAGUCUGUUGUGAAAUCCCCGGGCUCAACCUGGGAAUGGCAAUGGAUACUGGAUAGCUAGAGUGUGAUAGAGGAUGGUGGAAUUCCCGGUGUAGCGGUGAAAUGCGUAGAUAUCAAGAGGAACACCAGUGGCGAAGGCGAGUCCCUGGACAACUUCUGACGCUGAGGCACGAAAGCUAGGGGAGCAAACAGG
rnacentral:rRNA from 1 species